GUGCCAGCCGCCGCGGUAAUACGGGGGGUGCGAGCGUUGUUCGGAAUCAUUGGGCGUAAAGAGCGCGCAGGCGGCUUGGUGAGUCAGAUGUGAAAGCCCUGGGCUUAACCCAGGAAGUGCAUUUGAUACUGCCUCGCUAGAGUACGGGAGAGGAAAGUGGAAUUCCUGGUGUAGAGGUGAAAUUCGUAGAUAUCAGGAGGAACACCGGUGGCGAAGGCGACUUUCUGGCCCGAUACUGACGCUCAGGCGCGAAAGCGUGGGGAGCAAACAGGAUUAGAUACCCUGGUAGUCCACGCCGUAAACGAUGUUCACUAGGUGUUGGGGGUAUUGACCCUCUCAGUGCCGUAGCUAACGCAUUAAGUGAACCGCCUGGGAAGUACGGUCGCAAGACUAAAACUCAAAGAAAUUGACGG
rnacentral:rRNA from 1 species